rnacentral:rRNA from 1 species
ACCAACAGUCAUAUCACGCUGCAAUAUACCAGUUCUCGUCCGAUCACUGAAGUCAAUCAGCGUUGGGCAUAGUUAGUACUUUGAUGGGUGACCACUUGGGAACACUGUGUACCGUUGGUC